rnacentral:pre_miRNA from 1 species
UAAGUACUACCUCCGUCCGGAAAUACUUGUCAUCAAAAUGAGUAAAAAGGGACUUAUUUUGAUGACAAGUAUUUCUGGACGGAGGGAGUAUUGU